rnacentral:piRNA from 1 species
UGGAAUGCCCCUGAGGACACUGUUCUCAUUU